rnacentral:rRNA from 1 species
AGAGUUUGAUCAUGGCUCAGGAUGAACGCUAGCUACAGGCUUAACACAUGCAAGUCGGAGGGGAAACGACAUCGAAAGCUUGCUUUUGAUGGGCGUCGACCGGCGCACGGGGUGAGUAACGCGUAUCCAGCCUGCCCACCACUUGGGGAUAACCUUGCGAAAGUAAGACUAAUACCCAAUGAUAUCUCUAGAAGACAUCUGAAAGAGAUUAAAGAUUUAUCGGUGAUGGAUGGGGAUGCGUCUGAUUAGCUUGUUGGCGGGGUAACGGCCCACCAAGGCAACGAUCAGUAGGGGUUCUGAGAGGAACGGUCCCCCACAUUGGAACUGAGACACGGUACCAAACUCCUACGGGAGGCAGCA